UUGGUACCUCUUGCCACCCCUUCUCACUGC
rnacentral:piRNA from 1 species